GUUUGCCCGUGAUAUUGGCACGGCUCAAUCAAAUAACACAGAGCUUUUUGGAAUGAAUGAAUAUAAAGCAAUGCCUUCUGAUUGAACCGUACCAAUAUCUCAGGCUCUUAA